UUAAAACUGUUUUAAACCCUGAAAUCAGAACAUCCAAAAGAAAAGUAAGCACUCUCUGGCAAGAUAGGGAGAGAAUAAGAAAUGAAACAAAAAUGCGUUUUUUUUCAAAUCUAACCAUUCCAUCUAGUUAAUAACAUUUGGAAUACUGCUCAAAUGGCAUCUGGAAUCCAGUAGGCAAUGUCCAUAAUUGACUGAUGAAUAGACAUGAAAAUCCACAUGUCUGCUUGCCUGUACACCCCUACAGAUCAAAUUUGGUUCCAAAACUUGUUCAUCAAGGUAAGAAGAUGAAUUACCAUUUGUCACCAAUAGAAAAACUUUUCCAAAAACCCUUCCGGGAGAAAAGAUGCCAGGAAAUUGUGUUAAGCUAAGACAUUUUUCUCUACUAUUAUAUUGUAUAUGCUAGGGCUCUGGGCUCAAUACUAACGACAAUGCAUUUUUGAGCAAGUUUUUUCAAACAUAUUCAAAGAAUUUUUAUAUAUCACAGUCCUAACCUUUUAAUAAAGUACCAUAUGUUGUGAAAAUAGAAUAAUUAAGCCAUUUCUUAUAUGGCCUACUGGAAUAUGGGAUCCAUUCACACAUGGCAUAUAAUCACCUAGAAGACAGUAUGAUGCAUUAUGUUAAUUGAUUAUAAUGCUUAGCCAAAAUCAUAUUUUUGGCUCUCUAUGAAUCUGACACCAUUCCCAUGUUUUAUUUGACACUUAUAUCUGCAGCAAUUGGCAUAGCAUCUAUGAUGGAUGGACUUGUUAGAAAGGUGAAGUGCAAUUCCAGCACAAAAAUCAUGUAAAUCAAAAUUAGAAAAAAAAAUUUACUCGAAAAACUCAAGGUUACAAGAAGCUUCCAUUAAUUGUCUCAAUGCCUUGCAACAUUUUGACUUUAAAGAACACAAAAAAAUUUCUUCCAGUAAAACAUUAAUUAAUACUUAUCAAUAGAAGAAAGCAAUACAUGGUUCAAGCCAUUAUCAAAAAAGCUGAAAUUUCCUUUAACAAAAGAGAUGGAAAUACCUGUUAGAAAGGUGAAGUGCAAUUCCAGCACAAAAAUCAUGUAAAUCAAAAUUAGAAAAAAAAA
rnacentral:lncRNA from 1 species